rnacentral:rRNA from 1 species
AACGAACGCUGGCGGCAGGCUUAACACAUGCAAGCCGCACGCCCCGCAAGGGGAGUGGCAGACGGGUGAGUAACGCGUGGGAACAUCCCCUUUCCUGCGGAAUAGCUCUGGGAAACUGGAAUUAAUACCGCAUACGCCCUACGGGGGAAAGAUUUAUCGGGGAAGGAUUGGCCCGCGUUGGAUUAGCUAGUUGGUGGGGUAAAGGCCUACCAAGGCGACGAUCCAUAGCUGGUCUGAGAGGAUGAUCAGCCACAUUGGGACUGAGACACGGCCCAAACUCCUACGGGAGGCAGCAGUGGGGAAUAUUGGACAAUGGGCGCAAGCCUGAUCCAGCCAUGCCGCGUGAGUGAUGAAGGCCUUAGGGUUGUAAAGCUCUUUCACCGAUGAAGAUAAUGACGGUAGUCGGAGAAGAAGCCCCGGCUAACUUCGUGCCAGCCGCCGCAGUAAUAC